rnacentral:hammerhead_ribozyme from 1 species
AUCUAGUUGACGAGUCCCAAAUAGGACGAAACGCGUGUCCUGGAU